UAGGGAAUCUUCCACAAUGGACGAAAGUCUGAUGGAGCAACGCCGCGUGAGUGAAGAAGGGUUUCGGCUCGUAAAACUCUGUUGUUAAAGAAGAACAUAUCUGAGAGUAACUGUUCAGGUAUUGACGGUAUUUAACCAGAAGGCCACGGCUAACUACGUGCCAA
rnacentral:rRNA from 1 species